GAGUGCUUCGCGUUGUCCUGGCAAUAAUGGAACACUUCGCAGUUGAGGUCCUCGUCGGCGUAAUAUCCGGUCUGUUUGUUCACGCAAUCGAAUUUGCUCUGCGGCAGCAGGAGGGUCAGACGAUCGGGCUCCUCCUUUUCCUCCAGUUCUUCAGCCUCGGCCUUCAACCGCAAAAUACACAGUGAACGAUUGCGGACAGGAGAAGAGAAAGCUGUCGCGUAAACCGUUUCUCGAUUCUGUUCCGAGAAGGGUUAACCAGCUACAUGGAAAUUGGUUCAACCGCGAACGGUUACUCAAUAUCGAUGAUCGUUCCCGGAUGGAACUGGGAAACACAUAAUCAUUCCUGAUCGACGCGACAAAAGGAGCGAAACAACUUUCCUUGUUCACGAAAUCAUUUCUUUCGAGCAAUCGUAAUGUCUGGCUCGUUACGUAACACGUGCAUCGUGUGGAACCAACAAACAAUGGAUGUUUCUUCGGCCGCUCGCGGGUUACGUAAUAACGAACGAGAUUCUGGGAAAGGAAUCUCACGAUUGUUCAGUCUAAUAUCAAUUUUCUGUAAUUAACGCGUUGUCGGCAAUACGCGGCCGUUAAGUAGGAGAGACGAAACGUUUUUAUUAAAAUUUAGUGGCGAGAUAAUCAUCUUUAAAGAAUCUCGUUAAUUAUUGUGUGUAUUUCUGAUUAAUCUUUAGUCGGCGAUGCUUGUCGAGGAUGUUACUUGAUGUCUUCCGUCAGUGGAAGACGCUAAUUGAUAUCUCUCGUUAACGUAUCAACAAAUUCGCAUCGGACAUUGUUUGCUGAAACUUUCCUGUAGAACUGAUAUUCCAGAUACGAACACUUGGUUUUCUCGAAAUGUCGACAUUCAUCCGUAACGAGUUAAUAUCAUGAAACUGAUGAAAUGAUCAUCACCUGAGGAUUCGGUGGCUGUCCACCGCGAAGGACACCCCUUGGUGGUCCGUUCACCCUAACGGCUCCUUGCUCCAGCGAUGGCUUGCGGUACAACUGGAAAAUAGAAGAUAGAGGUUCGUGGUUGACAAACGAUAUCGUUUUCAUGGUUCCAGAAACAGUAUCGAGCAAAAUCGUCCAAUGUUUCCCGAGAAAAAGUUUGUUUCCCUGUACGUGAGAUCACUCACGAAAGUUCACGCACUUGUUACGCAGCUGCACGUAAGGGAACAGAACCCCAGGUACUUCGUGGUAACCGGUUAUUUUUACUUCCAGCGAAUCUUUAUGUAAAUUCACGAUUUCACGGGCUGAACGAUGGAACAGGAAUUAAAAAACCGCUUUCAUGGCAAAGGACACAACAUCCGUGUUCGAUCUCAUGGAACCUUCUAUAAAAAAGGUGGUUGGCUGUUGGGCCUGUAGGCCGGCGUCGGCGUGGGCGUCACGAUGUUGUCCUCGUAGCUGUUAUCGCGGAAUCCUUGACCAGGCGAGUACAGAGGUCCUAAACUAGAGGAUUUGCCCGGGUACGGGACUCUGCCGUCCAAGUCGUAAGAGCCCUGCGCUGUCACGGUGACAGCGAACGCCGCUAGACUCAGCCACAACAUCCUGAAGAAAAGAGGAAAGUCAUUUAGAAGAAAGGUAAAAAUGAUUCUAGCAAUUGACCUUUCAUCGGUUCUUCGCCGAUCGAUAAUCACGCCCUCGACGCGCUUUCGCGAGCGUGUUAGACGGAUCGGAACACCAUCAUUUCUGAUGGACGCGCGCGAGAGAAAGCGACCUUGGCCAUUGACAUCUUCCACGAAGCGCACGCAUCGCGUGGAAAGUAAUUACACGGAACACUCGUUGGACGAUGAUUAUACUGCGGCGAGCGAGGCUGAUCACGGAAUCUUGUUAAAAUCGAUUAAUCCGAUUUAUUGCGCUGUAAACGCAUCGGUACACGAUUAUUUCUUACUCGAGAGGCCGCAGCGCCUGACGCGUCCCGCCGGCUGUCUCAUCUUUCACUUUGACGUUGAUGAUCGUCCGGACUUUAUCGCGCGAUGAUUGUAACGGUCGCUCGAAGACAGAUUAUUUAUUGGUCGUGUAACGAGCGUGAGUUGAUGGAGACUUACAUUAUGAGUAUUUGCUGAAAUUAAAGAGCCGUGCUAUUCGGACACGGGAGAAUUACGAGCUGUCCGAUGUUCUAUUUGGAGAAUGAAUGGGAGUGUUAAUUUAAGAUAUUGUGUCUGUACGCGUAUAUGUUCUUUUUGGAAUCAUUACAUACUCGUGCUAUUAAUCAGGUACUGGAGAUCACCCGAUGGAUCGACGGGCAGAUCGGUUUCCAUUUUUUCUCGCCUAAUUUUCAUCGGUGAUUUAUCGAAGAAAGAGAGAAAUUCUAGAUACAUUCUAUGCCCAUGUUUUACAAGCAUCGAGUAAUAUUUGUGCUCGUUGAAUUCUGUUUGAAAUCUUCGCCGCGAGUCUGACAAGAUAUUACAGGGCAAGGGGUUAAUUCAAGACACAAAGCUUUCAAGUGCUGAAUCGGAUCUUAAAUGCCUUCAUUUAUCCGCGUUGCGUUAUCCCUCCGAGCUAAUUGGAUAAUACCGAAGCAUAACGUAAUCCCGCGGCGAAUUUCGAUCUAACGAUCGCGAAUUACCCUCGAUCCGUUUAGAAGAUUAACGAGCUCGAUCUAGGUGGCUGGACGGUUAAAAGCGCCGCCGAGGUUUCACUGGCGGCGAAUAGAAAAAUAGAGACGAGCGGCUGGAAAGAGAAGACGUCCAGUCACGUCUCGGAAAAGUGAUGCUUCACGGCUGUUAGCGAGAGCAGUUGCAGGUGUUCUCUCGCAAGUGUGUCGAGAACACGCGUGCGUUUAAUGUCGAUGACCCAGAAUAUUCGAGAGAAAGAGGACCACGGAGAAAUGCCGGUGAAAUGGCGUAAUCGUGUUCGAAAU